rnacentral:lncRNA from 1 species
CAGGAGCCCUUUGUCCACACUGGCUGAAGGGAAAUGGGAGCACCUCUUCCCUUUUUUCAUCUGCUGACCAGCGGGGCAGCUCUCAUGCCCUGGCUUGGGGGAGAAGCAAGAUUUCACUUUGUGUAUUCAGGAAAAGUCCCACCCCAGCCCUCGUGUCAGCUGAGGCACUAGCUCAGCCAUGGGACUCCCACCAGCUUCUGCCUGGCAGCAACACCUGGGUA